rnacentral:misc_RNA from 1 species
GAAAUGCGAUAAGUAGUGUGAAUUGCAGAAUUCAGUGAAUCAUCGAAUCUUUGAACGCACAUUGCGCCCCUUGGUAUUCCAUGGGGCAUGCCUGUUCGAGCGUCAUUUGUACCCUCAAACUCUGCUUGGUGUUGGGUGUUUGUCCCCGUCUCCGCGCGUGGACUCGCCCCAAAGUGAUUGGCAGCCGGCGUACUGGUCCCGGAGCGCAGCACAUGUCGCGCAAACGAGUGCCUUGGUACGGCGGCGUCCAUAAGCCCCUCUCUCACGCUCUUGACCUCGGAUCAGGUAGGGAUACCCGCUGAACUUAAGC